rnacentral:rRNA from 1 species
AUUGAACGCUGGCGGCAUGCCUUACACAUGCAAGUCGAACGGUAACAGGUCUUCGGAUGCUGACGAGUGGCGAACGGGUGAGUAAUACAUCGGAACGUGCCUAGUAGUGGGGGAUAACUACUCGAAAGAGUGGCUAAUACCGCAUGAGAUCUACGGAUGAAAGCAGGGGAUCGCAAGACCUUGUGCUACUAGAGCGGCCGAUCGCCGAUUAGGUAGUUGGUGGGAUAAAAGCUUACCAAGCCGACGAUCUGUAGUUGGUCUGAGAGGACGAUCAGCCAGACUGGGACUGAGACACGGCCCAGACUCGUACGGGAGGCAGCAGUGGGGAAUUUUGGACAAUGGGCGAAAGCCUGAUCCAGCAAUGCCGCGUGCAGGAUGAAGGCCUUCGGGUUGUAAACUGCUUUUGUACGGAACGAAAAGCCCCGGGUUAAUACCCUGGGGUCAUGACGGUACCGUAAGAAUAAGCACCGGCUAACUACGUGCCAGCAGCCGCAGUAA